CUGCCGCAGGCAGGGGCCGGGGUGGAUGCGCUGCCGCUUAUUAGACCCACGACGGAGUUGGCCAGAUCGUUCCGGGCAGAGCUCUCGCGGGCCAGCGCCCUCCUUCCGGCCCAGGGAGAGCCGGCGGGUCCGCCGCAAGCGUCCUGCGCGGCUUCAGGGCCGUCGGUUGCAGCCGUGCUGGUCUAAGGACCCAGCCUGUGCAGCUGCAGGCGCCUCGCCCGCCCUUCCGCCCGCUGCGCCUUCGCGCCCGCCUUUCAAAACGGAGCGGACAGCCCCCCAUCCCCUCCGCCGGGCAGCCUCAGCUCCGAGCGCCGCCCAGCACAGGCCGGGCCUGGAGCAGCCCCCCUCCAGGAGCAAGAAGCCCGGCAAGAUGGAAGAAGCCGCUGAGAAGGUGCCUGAGAACAGGCUGGAGAGCAGCACCGACCAGCCGCCGCAAGCUACCUGCCCCUGCCAGUGCAAGUGUCAUUCCAUACUGCUAAGCAGUGCAAGACUGCAACACCGAUUUUCAAACCACCUCUGGCAGUCCUUUCUCCAGUCCUGGAGGUCUCCUCCGGCACUGACUCGAUGAAGUCCUCAUGGUGGAGGAUGCUUCAGAUGCCUCAUGGAGGAGGAUGUUCCUGUAGUUCUCUUGCCUUCUCUCUGAGGGACACUACAAGGAGGCACUACUCACACUGCAGGCACUCCCUCACUUGGCCAUAAUUGGAAGGAACUUGCAAGCCGCAGUCUCCACAGCAUCAAACUGAGACCUGGGUGGAAGCCUUGAUGACUGUACAAUACCUCCAACAAUGGUAACAGCUGUCCGGUUAACUGUGCAGGAAGACGCCGUACCUAGUAAGUCACCUCUGAGCACCAAGGAGAUCCAGACGCAUCCAAAGUCUAACAUUGCAAAGGAAGCCUUAGCAUGAACAGAUCCACACAGGAUGUGCUACCUCGUUCCCAGUGUAGGCAAUAGCCCCAGUGUAAAAUAAACUCUUCCCACCCCGCAGAACACCAAGAAUGGUGCAGUCUUUUUUUAUAGAGCCAACACCACCUGUAUUAAUCUUGGGUCUGUAACUUCAUUUCACCCUUCCUACUAGUGCAUCUGAGGCACUCCCCACAGCCAGGCAAGACCCAGUGCCUUGAGAAAAAGGCAAGCUCAAUUCUAAGGAAGCAAGAAACUUAAAAACUGAGGUCAAAUUUAAGCUGGUAUCCCCUAUUCAGAUGCUGAAACAUGGUGGAACAGAAAUCCAAGGAGAUGGAUAAUAAAUACAGGGACAGUUGAAGUCCAUAUUUAACAAAGUAUGCUCUAAUUAAAGUCAGCUAGGAAUCACA